UAUGAAAUGUGUGCUUGUUGUUUUUAACUUGCUUCUAUUGUAUUUUUUCUUUUUCAACUGGUGAUUUUAUUGUUCUGCAGUCACUGUCUGAAGCAUUUGUGAGGUUUCUGGAGAAUGAGUCGCAGCCUCAAACACAUCUGAAAUUCCCUCUUGCUGAUUUGAAAGCUGAAUCAAAGAGUAGACGAUCAUCUUCAACUGCAUCUCCUUCGGUGCUGCUUUCAGAUGUGGCCUUGUCCAACUUGUCUCAAUUCUCAUCUGGUAGAAGUGGAACUAUUUUAAAAGAUGUCAUGAAGGAUGAUAGACUAGUAUGACUGUGAGAGAUAACCCUUUUUGCAUAUUAUUCAUAACCGUGGUUUCCACCAGUAUUGAGUUUUUAUCGCAAAUAAUACUGUAACUAUUGAAUACUGUAUAAACCAUAGUAAUUAUUACUCAUUUAUGCUUCUCAUGUUUUUGAUUAAAGUAAAUUUGAUGAAUUGUAUGUAUAUUCUUACUCGAUUCACAUUAUUUUCCAUAAUUUGAUUUUGCCUUUAUGGAUCACAUCUCAAUUUAUUUGGUAUGAUUCCACAUAAUUGUAUCAAAAUUCGGAAAGGGAGCAGUUUUGGUCUGGACCUGUACGUCCUUUUCUCAUCAUAUUAUUCGAUCUGUGUAUUAUGAAAUGUGAAUGAAUGAAUAAAUUAUCUCCCUAAUCUUUAUUUUAUUUAAAAAAAAUGUAGGUUGUCUGUAUUAAAUUAUCUACUUAUGUACAAUUAAAUUGAUCAUAAUUUGAAAUUGUAUAGCUACGUGUAAAUAUAAUAAUGUAUAUUACUGUUAACUUGUCAGAUAUUUUCUGUCUAUAUUAUGAAGUUGAUAUUUUCUGAAGAAUAAAGUUCUUGAAACUA